AGUGAACGCUGGCGGUAGGCCUAGCACAUGCAAGUCGAACGGCAGCACAGUAAGAGCUUGCUCUUACGGGUGGCGAGUGGCGGACGGGUGAGGAAUACAGCGGAAUCUACUUUUUCGUGGGGGAUAACGUAGGGAAACUUACGCUAAUACCGCAUACGACCUACGGGUGAAAGCAGGGGAUCUUCGGAACUUGCGCGAGUGAAUGAGCCGAUGUCGGAUUAGCUAGUUGGCGGGGUAAAGGCCCACCAAGGCGACGAUCCGUAGCUGGUCUGAGAGGAUGAUCAGCCACACUGGAACUGAGACACGGUCCAGACUCCUACGGGAGGCAGCAGUGGGGAAUAUUGGACAAUGGGCGCAAGCCUGAUCCAGCCAUACCGCGUGGGUGAAGAAGGCCUUCGGGCUGUAAAGCCCUUUUGUUGGGAAAGAAAAGCAGCAGGUUAAUACCCCGCUGUUCUGACGGUACCCAAAGAAUAAGCACCGGCUAACUUCAUG
rnacentral:rRNA from 1 species